ACCUUGUGUCUGAGCUGGUCUGAAGGCUGGUUGUUCAGACUGAGCUUCCUGCCUGCCUGUACCCCGCCAACAGCUUCAGAAGAAGGUGACUGGUGGCUGCCUGAGGAAUACCAGUGGGCAAGAGAAUUAGCAUUUCUGGAGCAUCUGCUGUCUGAGCAGCCCCUGGGUGCGUCCACUUUCUGGGCACGUGAGGUUGGGCCUUGGCCGCCUGAGCCCUUGAGUUGGUCACUUGAAGCUUGGGAAUAUUGAGAUUAUAUUCUCCUGCCUUUUGAAAAGAUGGACUUCAGCAGAAAUCUUUAUGAUAUUGGGGAACAACUGGACAGUGAAGAUCUGGCCUCCCUCAAGUUCCUGAGCCUGGACUACAUUCCACAAAGGAAGCAAGAACCCAUCAAGGAUGCCUUGAUGUUAUUCCAGAGGCUCCAGGAAAAGAGAAUGUUGGAGGAGAGCAAUCUGUCCUUCCUGAAGGAGCUGCUCUUCCGAAUUAAUAGACUGGAUUUGCUGAUUACGUACCUAAACACUAGAAAGGAGGAGAUGGAAAGGGAACUUCAGACACCAGGCAGGGCUCAGAUUUCUGCCUACAGGGUCAUGCUGUAUCAGAUUUCAGAAGAAGUGAGCAGAUCAGAAUUGAGGUGUUUUAAGUUUCUUUUGCAAGAGGAAAUCUCCAAAUGCAAACUGGAUGAUGACAUGAACCUGCUGGAUAUUUUCAUAGAGAUGGAGAAGAGGGUCAUCCUGGGAAAAGGAAAGUUGGACAUCCUGAAAAGAGUCUGUGCCCAAAUCAACAAGAGCCUGCUGAAGAUAAUCAACGACUAUGAAGAAUUCAGCAGAGGUAGAAACAACCUGACAGCCGGGAAUCGGCAAAACCUACUCUAAAAUUGAAACUGACAAAUCUGUCCAUAUCACAGUUGUUUCUAAUCAAAUAUUGUUUGGGGUUUCCCCUUUUAAUUCAGAGAGAAGAAGCAGCCUUGAAGG
rnacentral:sRNA from 1 species